UAAUGGCUCUGUCAGAGCCCUGGCUGAGUGAGCUCCUUCUGCAGAAACUUGAUAACAUCAGACUAUGAAUGAUCUAGAAUGGACUGGCUGUUUCACAGGAUUUGCAAAAGGAGAAGGCCUCCCACACCUGGGAGCCUAUCAGCUCUGGAUGAUGCAAGUAACAUCUGUACUUUCCCUGCUACAUCUGGACCUUGACUGGCUUUAUGGCGCAAGGCCUUACAAUUCUGGAAAAUCCUCCUGGAUGUGCCCUAGGUAGACGGGAAAUGCCGCAAGGACACCUGCAGUAGACAUCAAUCCCGGGAGACUCUGGCUCGCCAAAACCACAAUUGAAAUCAGAAAGAGCCCCCAGCAGCACAUGUUCCAACUCAGCCUCUCGCCUACGCAAAGAUCCACCAUUAGCGCUUUCCCAACACUGCCCCUUCUCUGCUGCCUGAUAGAGAAGGCCCAGCACUUGGAUUUCCCCGCACCGGGGAUGACAGGUCACUUUUCCAAGAGACACCGAGAGUGGGCAGCUGCCCUGGGAUUCCCAGGAGCCUUAUCACAGGAACAGGGGUGGGGGUGGAUUCUGCAGUUGAAGAAAGGCAGUCUCAACAUGCCCUGCUUUUCUGUCCGCUAGGGCCAGAAAAGGCCUCAGCUGUAAUGAGGCUCCCCCACCCAGUGCCCCAGCAGAAUUUUCUCAGGUCACAAUGAGCAUGGGCACAUACUGGGUCCCCCAGGUACAGAAGAGUGGGGCGCAUGUGUGUCUGCUAAUGCCAAUCUUUAAAGGCUAAUCAUAAAAGAUAUUUCACCAUGAACAGGCUUCUUUUAAAAUAGGUUGUUCCAGGGGAUCCCUGGGUGGCUCAGGGGUUUAGCGCCUGCCUUCGGCCCAGGGUGUGAUCCUGGA